rnacentral:lncRNA from 1 species
CACACUUUGAGAAUCAAGGGCUUAGAGAAGUGAGAUAAUCUGAAGAUGUGGUGGAAUGGAGCCUUCACUUUUAACCAUGUUUGCCCAUUGCCAAAGCCCGUGAUCUUAAUUAAUCAUAAACGCUAUGGCUCCCAAAAGGUGGAGUUGUUGGUAUAAAAAAGCCAGUUGGAAACAACCUGGGGAGGUUGUACACUAGGCUAAAAAAUUUGGAUUUUAUCUGCAGGCAAUUGGCAGCCAUUGAAAAUGUUUAAGCAGAGAAGGGUCCAAUCAGAAAGCUUAUAUUAUGGUUUCUGGAUGUAUUUCCUAUGAGUAUUUUGUUUGUUCUUUUCAGCAUAGAUCUCUUAGGUCAAAUUGAAGUGCAAUUAAAGAAAAAAAUAGGGCUCUGAACUUUGUAAGUAAUAGGGAUGGUUUAUUAGAUCAUCUACUCUGUAAUGAGGGCAAUAAUUGGCUCUUAUUUAGUGUUUCCUGCCCAAUCAUCCCAAGGCACUUUACUAAUAAGCAUCAUCUUUCUUUCAGAGCUGAAGCAGCCGUUGGAGAAAGGCUCGGGGACUUGAUGUACUGGGGCUGGCUGCUGGGCAUGUGUUCAUCAUUUCUGUGGCAUCUAGAUUCUUCUCCCACAGUUCAGAGCAUAUAUGCAAAAGGUUUGCAGAAUGCCUGUGGGCUUUUUUGGAGCCACUAAAGGGACUUGUCGCCUGUUUCCAUUCCCUGCCACUCACCACAGAUGUGCCAGUCAUGCCUACCUUAAUCUUUUGUCAUAGUCACACUGAAACCCGGUAGAAUAUUGAAGGAACUGUCAAAAAUGUAGCCAUGUGAAAAGAAUCAGAAGGCAGUGUUGUUAUUCAGAGUUUGCUUCCUGGGCUCCUGUUUGCAUGGAGCAGGUUGGAUGUCUAAUUUCAGCAAUGCAAUUAAUUCUUGGACAAAAUGAAAAAAAAAAUGUAUCUGCCACAUUUGUAUACACUUGGAUGUUGCUUCACUAAUUCAUGUACUUAUUUUCUUUGCGAUUUCAUCUGAAAGCAUCUUCUGAGGGCUUUUUGCUGUUGAUUUUUUAAAAAAUCUUUUGAGUGAUGAAAAUGGACAAAAACAGAAUUCAGCAAAAUGUAAAUGAAUCAAGCAAAUGGGAUGCAAGAAUAUAUUGUACAGAUCCGGAAUGGAAAUAGAGAUAUUUGUUCUUCCUUCUUUUGAGCAGAAUCAUAAAACUUUCCAUGGUGCAUCAGACAUUCUGUUUUACAUUCACUAUUGCCAGACGUUUAAAAGGUGAUAAAAAGCAUUUUAAAAAUGUCGAGGUUAUUGUUGUGUGUUCUGACAGUAAAGAAGUGUUUAUUCUAACACAGAGGUUUGUCCUCUAAUCCUGAUAUGGUCUUUUAUAACCACUGUGAAUUUCUUCUUUUUAAAAUAUUGAUUUCACUUUGCACUUUUUUCUAUAGUGCUGCCUCGUCUGAGAAUUAUGAUGAUAUCCCAGAUGCAGAUUUUAAAACUAUUCUGGACUAAACUGUGGAAAAUGGCUAUUGUUUUUUGAAUAAAAGAUUUUAUGACCUGGC